rnacentral:snRNA from 1 species
UCGAACCAUCUAGUAGCU